AAAAAAAAAGAAAAAGAAAGAAAGUUCAAUGGCAUUGUAGGGAGAUGCCUCAAGUGAGUUUUCAACUCUGUCCUCACCGGGUGCUUACCUUCUCAAAGCAUCUAUUUGCUUCUCAGAAAAAUGGAGAAAAUUGCCAUUUACCUCAUUGGCUCUCAACCCACACUAAGCAUCAGAAUUACUGGCGGUGGGAGAAGGAAUUACAAUGUUGGGUGCAGGCAUCUGUGGUUGUUAGAGCUGCCCAGGUGAUUCUAAUGGGUAAGCAGGGGCCUUUCUCAAGGAGAUAAUUAAAUCAGAUAAAUUAAGAAAACAUACUCUGAGACCUGUAAAACUCUCUGUAUGGUAAAUUACUUUCAUUAUUCAACACCAGAAAAAAGCCAGAAGUUGAACCUCAGUUCCUGCCCUCGCACAGGCAAGAUGGCGCUGAAGGCCUGCGGCUGAGUCUCCCACCUUCCAGAAGCCGUCCCCAGCUCCACAGCCUGCCUCCUACAUGAACACCCACCUCUUCUGCCUGCGGGCACAGCCUGGACAUCCAUGCUUUUUCGCAUAUGGGCAGGUUCCUGCUGGACACUCCUCCAAGCACAGCCCAUCAUAGAGGACCCAGGAACUCUCACGACAGAGCUCGCAGUCGUCGACUUUGGGGCCACUGCACUCCAGACAGUCUUUAUGGCAGGGGACACAGUGGCGCGAGUCUGAGUAGAAGCCACGGGGACAGGACUGGUGGCACAUAUCAUCAUGCAGGAAGAACUCAGGCAUGCACUCUGGGGAAAGGAGGAAGCAGCAAGUUAUCCCCGGGGGACAGGAGAAAGGAAUCCAUUGUCCACAGUGGGCUAGCUCCUCCCUCAGCACUUUGGUUGAUUUGACCUGAGAGUACCCUAGCCCUUUCCCCAUCCUACCAGGGCAGAGACUUGAUGUCUAACAAGCCCUGCCUUGGGAGGAGGAGGCCACACAUGGUGACCAUAUUAGAUGGUGCUGGACUUACGCACUGAAAUGGUCUGCCCUUUGGAGGUGCAAAAAAUUGCAACGCUGCAAAAGACAAGGAUGGCUGAGAGGCUGGCGGUAUUGUUUGAAAACCCUGAAGAGCAUUAACAGAUUUAAAAAAUUGUAUCAGGAACUUCACACUCUGUUCAAUACAGAAAGCAGUUUAGGAAUGGUUGGAUUAGUUAACUUUUCAUUCAUUGAUCAGGUACCACAAUGAAUAAAGCAUUGAUCAGUGUGAA